UAUAUUUAAAAAAAAUAUUCGGAAAUAAUCCAUUUGAAAACGGUAAAUCCAAAAUAUAUUCACCCACUGCUUUUCAUGGUCUAAUUCCGCUUCGGCCUCUCCUCUUCAUCUUCAUCAUUUUCAUCUUUCGUCUCAUCUUCAUCUUCUUUCAUUUCAUCAUCAUCUUCUUUUACUCCAUCUUCAUUUCCUUUCAACCCAAUCUUCAGAUUCAGGUGCAGGUUGGCCUCCAAAACAUGUUCUCAUAAAGCACGGUGGGGGCGGAGGUGAUGAUCACUCCCUCUCUCUUAGUCAGAUUCUCCAAACCCUGGCCUCACACAACACCUUCAUGACCACGAGACUACCCAAAUCCCAGUCUCGCACAGUGCCUCCAUGGCCAAAGUUGAAGAUGGAGGGAGGUGCAGUGAUACACGCACAGCAUGGUGGAAGGGGAAGGAAUUAUGGUGAGGGAUAUGAUUUAGGGUUUUUAAUAUAAAUUUAAUGGAUAAUUUAGGAAUAUCAGGUUUUACGGGGUACAUGGAAGAAAAAAGGGAGGUGCAGAGCGAUUGCUGCCUUUGCAUAGUCGUUGUUCUAAUUGGGCUUCGGCGGUUAGAAUGUCGGAACAAAAAAGGGCACCUCUAACUUUCUUCCUUCACCUUCAAUCUUUUUUACAAAGAGUUAUUUAAGGUGAUCUAGUUCAGAAGUAUGUUGGCGAGGGGACAAGGAUGGUUCGUGAACUAUUUCAGGGAAAAUUUGCACCAGACCUCCUAGAUUUUGGUAAUUCUUUCCAUGAUUCUCUCUUGUAGAUUGCUCGUUCAAAGAAGGCGUGCAUUGUGUUUUUUGAUGGUGUUGGUGAUGAUAACGAGGUUCAACGCACUACGCUUGAAAUUGUGAAUCAGCUUGAUGGAUUUGCUGCUCGUGGAAACAUCAAAGUUUUGAUGGCAACAAACAGGUUGGUUCUUUUAUUAGUAGAGCAUCUCAGGAUUAUUGUGUCACUUUUGUCAUAAUCAUGAUGCAUUCCAAUGACAUGCAUACAAUCUUGAGAACAUUGUAUUCAAAUCAAUUAAUAUAUUCAACUUUUAAUGAAAUA